UCUAUUAGAUUAUGUAUAUUAGAUUUAGCCUGCUCAAUGAGUAUUACUUAAAUAGCCGCAGUAUUUUGACUGUGCGAAGGUAGCAUAAUCAUUUGUCUUUUAAUUGAAGGCUUGUAUGAAUGGUUGGAUGAAAGAAUAGCUUUCUUUAUAUUAUUAUUAUUGAAUUUAACUUUUAAGUUAAAAGGCUUAAAUUUUUAAAUGGGACGAGAAGACCCUAUAGAAUUUUAUUUAUUAUUAUAUAUUCUUUAAUUUUUGGUUAAAUUUUAUUUAUAUUUUAAUAAAUUUUGUUGGGGUGACAGUAAGAUUUAUAUAACUCUUAUAAAUAAUUAUUUAUUUAUUUAUAUAUUAUUGAUCCUUUAAAUUGGGAUAAUUAGAUUAAAUUACCUUAGGGAUAACAGCGUAAUUUCAUUGGAGAGUUCUUAUUGAUAAUGGAGUUUGCGACCU
rnacentral:rRNA from 1 species